UGAGCUCAGUGGACAACCAAGGUGCCGCCAGCAGUUGCUAGUUAGCAAACCUUGCCUUAUCUGGUAUCGUCAUAUUCAAACAUCGCUCAAUCAAUGUUGGGUUGAAUGACUCUGCCAAAAGGAGAUGGAUCACGAGCUGGAGAUCUUCAUCAGGGAGAGAAGGGCGAGGGUGGCUGAGGAUAAAGCCAGUUUGGAACAAGACCCUCCUGACAUGGAUUUAAAGAAGUGUGAAGCUGACCGUUGAGCGGCCCGACCAAGCAAAGAG